GAUUGUACAAUAUUAGUAUUCAUGAUCUUAUUCUCAAUAGCUCUAUUCUUAUUAAAUAAUAUUAAAGGUAAAGAUAAUUCGGGUGGAUCAAAGUGAUCAGUGUUGCCCUCCCUGCAAAAAUUUACGGGUGAGAAAAUCAGGAAGAUGGAUAGCAGAACCUUUUACAUGUUCAAUAGAGAAAUCGAAAGAAGAUAAAAUGGCCUGCCAAUGGAUAAACCAACAACAAAAUUUUCUUUCCAAUGGUCGAGAUGACUAUCUUCUCGUGUUAAGAGUCUAAAAAGGAAAACAUCCUUAUACCAUUUAUAAUGAGAUAGUGUUGGGCAUCUUAAAUUAGAAAGUAGAUCUUCAGAUCGAGCUUCCAUUAAUGCAGUACUCCCCACAAAGUGAAGUGUUAUAGUAUAAAUGAG
rnacentral:lncRNA from 1 species